rnacentral:rRNA from 1 species
CCUACGGGGGGCAGCAGUGAGGAAUAUUGGUCAAUGGCCGGAAGGCUGAACCAGCCAAGCCGCGUGAAGGACGAAGGUGCCAAGCAUUGUAAACUUCUUUUGUCAAGGGACAAAAUCAGGCUCGAGAGCCUGACCGAGGGUACUUGAAGAAAAAGCAUCGGCUAACUCCGUGCCAGCAGCCGCGGUAAUACGGAGGAUGAGAGCGUUAUCCGGAUUUAUUGGGUUUAAAGGGUGCGUAGGCGGACUGUUAAGUCAGCGGUAAAAGCCCGGGGCUAAACCCCGGCGAGCCGUUGAAACUGGCUGUCGUGAGAUGUCGAGAGGUAUGCGGAAUGCGCAGUGUAGCGGUGAAAUGCAUAGAUAGCACGCAGAACCCCGAUUGCGAAGGCAGCAUACCGGUGCACAACUGACGCUCAGGCACGAAAGCGUGGGUAUCGAACAGGAUUAGAUACCCCAGUAGUC